GGAUUCCCCUAGUAACUGCGAGUGAAGAGGGAAAAGCUCAAAUUUAAAAUCUGGCAGUCUUUGAUUGUCCGAGUUGUAAUUUAGAGAAGUGUUACCCGUGUUGGACCGUGUACAAGUUUCCUGGAAUGGAACGUCAUAGAGGGUGAGAAUCCCGUCUUUGACACGGAUCCCAAUGCAUUGUGGUAUACUUUCGAAGAGUCGAGUUGUUUGGGAAUGCAGCUCUAAAUGGGUGGUAAAUUCCAUCUAAAGCUAAAUAUUGGGGAGAGACCGAUAGCGAACAAGUACCGUGAGGGAAAGAUGAAAAGAACUUUGGAAAGAGAGUUAAACAGUACGUGAAAUUGCUAAAAGGGAAACGCUUGAAGUCAGUCGCGUUGUCCGGGGAUCAGCCUUCCUUUUGGUUGGUGUACUUCCUGGUUGACGGGUCAGCAUCAGUUUUAAUCGGUGGAUAAAAGUGAGAGGAAUGUGGCAUCUUCGGGUGUGUUAUAGCCUUUUAUUGUAUACAUCGGUUGGGACUGAGGAACUCAGCACGCCGCAAGGCCGGGUUUUUAACCACGUUCGUGCUUAGGAUGCUGGCAUAAUGGCUUUAAUCGACCCGUCUUGAAACACGGACCAAGGAGUCUAACAUGCCUGCGAGUGUUUGGGUGGAAAACCCGAGCGCGUAAUGAAAGUGAAAGUUAGGAUCCCUGUCGUGGGGAGCACUGACGCCCUGUCCAGACCUUUUGUGACGGUACAGCGGUUGAGCAUGUAUGUUGGGACCCGAAAGAUGGUGAACUAUGCCUGAAUAGGGUGAAGCCAGAGGAAACUCUGGUGGAGGCUCGUAGCGAUUCUGACGUGCAAAUCGAUCGUCGA
rnacentral:rRNA from 3 species